rnacentral:lncRNA from 1 species
GAAUAUCAUGCUGACAAACCCGUCAAAAAGAAGGGCGCAGAGGGCAUAUUAUCUACAUAAGUAUAGGAGCUAUAACCUUUGUGAAAACCCAAACAGAUCCACAUAAAACAGAAUUCUCUGAGAAGGCGAGGGUCCAUUCUUGAUUAUCUUGAUGUUCAAGAAUGACAAGUAUACGAUCCAGGAAAGGAAUUGAACACCUCACCAUGGACCAUGGCUGAGACGUAGCUUGGAAUAUGGAUAUAGAGUACUUCUGAAUAUUGUCUAGGAACUUCCUUUCCUUGCCCAAGUAUCAUCCACAAGAAGAUUUAAUUUCUGGAGGUGUCGAAGUCAAACAGUCUUGUCAAAGGCUACAUGGCCCCCUCUCAGUUGGUUGCACCUACUACCCUAAUCGGUGACGCAUUCGAUUCAUCAUCAGUGAAAAAAUUCACAGCAGUUGCGUAAAUCCUGCUGCUGUUCAAGCCAAGUGCUGGUUAGACACACACAAAAAAAAAAGGAAAAAGCUAUCCGGAGUAAUUUUCUUUGACAAUGCAAUC